rnacentral:rRNA from 1 species
UACGUAGGGUGCAAGCGUUAAUCGGAAUUACUGGGCGUAAAGCGUGCGCAGGCGGUGAUGUAAGACAGGUGUGAAAUCCCCGGGCUUAACCUGGGAACUGCAUUUGUGACUGCAUCGCUGGAGUGCGGCAGAGGGGGAUGGAAUUCCGCGUGUAGCAGUGAAAUGCGUAGAUAUGCGGAGGAACACCGAUGGCGAAGGCAAUCCCCUGGACCUGUACUGACGCUCAUGCACAAAAGCGUGGGGGGCAAACAGG